UACGGGAGGCAGCAGUGGGGAAUUUUCUGCAAUGGGCGAAAGCCUGACAGAGCAAUACCGCGUGAGGGAUGAAGGCUCGUGGGUCGUAAACCUCUUUUUUCAAGGAGGAAGUUCUGACGUGUACUUGAAGAAUAAGCAUCGGCUAACUCCGUGCCAGCAGCCGCGGUAAU
rnacentral:rRNA from 1 species